rnacentral:rRNA from 1 species
ACAUACGGCCAUACCACCCUGAACACACUGGAUCUUGUCUGAUCUCUGAAGCUAAGCAGGUUUGGGCCUGGUUAGUACUUAGAUAGGAGACAAACCCCUUCACAUUCC